rnacentral:rRNA from 1 species
GACGAACGCUGGCGGCGUGCCUAAUACAUGCAAGUAGAACGCUGAGGGAGGAGCUUGCUUCUCUGGAUGAGUUGCGAACGGGUGAGUAACGCGUAGGUAACCUGCCUGGUAGCGGGGGAUAACUAUUGGAAACGAUAGCUAAUACCGCAUAAUAUUGACUAUUGCAUGAUAGUCAGUUGAAAGGUGCAACUGCACCACUACCAGAUGGACCUGCGUUGUAUUAGCUAGUUGGUGGGGUAACGGCUCACCAAGGCGACGAUACAUAGCCGACCUGAGAGGGUGAUCGGCCACACUGGGACUGAGACACGGCCCAGACUCCUACGGGAGGCAGCAGUAGGGAAUCUUCGGCAAUGGACGGAAGUCUGACCGAGCAACGCCGCGUGAGUGAAGAAGGUUUUCGGAUCGUAAAGCUCUGUUGUAAGAGAAGAACGAGUGUGAGAGUGGAAAGCUCACACUGUGACGGUAUCUUACCAGAAAGGGACGGCUAACUACGUG